rnacentral:rRNA from 1 species
GAUGAACGCUGGCGGCGUGCCUAAUACAUGCGAGUCGAGCGAACAGAUGAGGAGCUUGCUCCUCUGACGUUAGCGGCGGACGGGUGAGUAACACGUGGAUAACCUACCUAUAAGACUGGGAUAACUUCGGGAAACCGGAGCUAAUACCGGAUAAUAUAUUGAACCGCAUGGUUCAAUAGUGAAAGACGGUUUUGCUGUCACUUAUAGAUGGAUCCGCGCCGCAUUAGCUAGUUGGUAAGGUAACGGCUUACCAAGGCAACGAUGCGUAGCCGACCUGAGAGGGUGAUCGGCCACACUGGAACUGAGACACGGUCCAGACUCCUACGGGAGGCAGCAGUAGGGAAUCUUCCGCAAUGGGCGAAAGCCUGACGGAGCAACGCUGCGUGAGUGAUGAAGGUCUUCGGAUCGUAAAACUCUGUUAUUAGGGAAGAACAAAUGUGUAAGUAACUAUGCACGUCUUGACGGUACCUAAUCAGAAAGCCACGGCUAACUACGUG